UUAGGUUGGUGCAAAAGUAAUUGUGGUUUUUGCCAUUGAAAGUAAUGGCAAAAACCGCAAUUACUUUUGUACCAGCCUAAUAAA
ensembl:miRNA